rnacentral:lncRNA from 1 species
AUGAUUUCUCAAAGGCGCUGCCACCAAAGUCGCAAGUAUUUCCCAACUCCCCGUCCCCCCCCCCCUCACCGCGCCGAGCCCCCCAGCCUGAGGCGGCUCCCCCCUCACUGCCACCUCCCUCCCUCCCCUCGGGGCCCCCAAAACUUCCCGGGGGGCUGCCCACAGCCCCCCGUGAGAGGGGGCAGCCUUACAGCGGCUGGGCUGCCUUGUCGCCCCGUUCCCCACCCCGCUGCCCCCCGCUCUCCCCUCAGGCAGGCGCCUCCCUCCGGGCAGCGCGGCGGGAGUUGGUGCCGGGACAAGGCGGCGGGGAGCUCGGCUACUUGCCCAGGUGGGGACGAGGAGGCUGCCGGGGCGCUCAAGCGGUGCUGGAGGCGGCUGCUUCCCCGCCACGCUCAUCUCCUCCCAUGCAGCUGGCUUGGCUCCUCUCAGGCGGGCGGCUCGGCGGGACGCGGCGCCUUCAGGCACCGAGAGGCGAGCGGCGUGUCCCGGCUCCGCGCCGCUCCGCACCGCGGCCCCGGCACGGUGGGCGGGGAGCGGGGGGCUCGCCGGAGGCUGCGAGCCGGGAGGGGAGAGAGGAAGGCGGUGGAGGAGCGCUGCCUAUUUAACUUCGCUCUUCUCCGGGGGGAAGGCGCCGCCGCUCGGGCUCCCCUCCCCUCUGCGGCCGCAUCCCGACAGACGGGGCUCUGGGUGCAGCCGGGAGUGCGGCUGUGCUCCUCCCCGGUACGGCACCGGCGGGCUGGGCAGCUUGUGCCCGGGGAACGGCCCAACCUCCUUAAUAUCUUUAUUGAUGACUUGGAUGAGGGAAUUGAGUGCACCCUCAGUAAGUUUGCAGACGACACCAAGUUCGAGGGAAGUGUCGAUCUGCCCGAGGGUAGGAAGGCCCUGCAGAGGGACCUGGGCAGGGUGGAUCGAUGGGCAGAGGGCAAUGGGGUGAGGUUCUGCAUGUCUAAGUGUUGGGUCCUGCAUUUUGGUCACAACAACCCCAUGCAACGCUACAGAGUUGGGGGAGAGUGGCUGGAAAGCUGUGCAGAGGAAAAGGAUCUGGGGUUGUUGGUUGAUGCUUGCCUGAAUGUGAGCCGGUAG